rfam:Camponotus floridanus CamFlo_1.0_3.contig4035, whole genome shotgun sequence.
AACUGAAUAGCUCAAUGGCAAGAGCAGUCGCUCGGCAAGCGAAAGACUCGGGUUCGAUUCCUGAUUCAGCGA